rnacentral:rRNA from 1 species
AGGGCGCAAGGGGAAUGCCUUGGCACUGAGAGCCGACGAAGGACGCGACAAGCUGCGAUAAGCUACGGGGAGCCGCAAAUGGGCUUUGAUCCGUGGAUUUCCGAAUGGGGAAACCCGAUGGAGCAAUACUCCAUCAACCAUGACUGAAUACAUAGGUCAUGGUGGGGAACCGCCUGAACUGAAACAUCUAAGUAGGGCGAGGAAGAGAAAUCAACCGAGAUUCCGCUAGUAGUGGCGAGCGAACGCGGAAGAGGCCAAACCGGAGGUAGCAAUAUUUCCGGGGUUAGGACUGCAAUAUGUAACUUUAAUCUUUAACUGAAUGCUUUGGGAAGAGCAGCGAUACAGGGUGAUAGCCCCGUAAGUGAAAAGGAUUGAGUGCUAGCAGUAUCCAGAGUACCAGCGGACACGUGAAACCCGCUGGGAAGAUGGGGGGACCAUCCUCCAAGCCUAAAUACUACUCAGUGACCGAUAGUGGAGCAGUACCGUGAGGGAAAGGUGAAAAGUACCCCGGGAGGGGAGUGAAAAAGAACCUGAAACCUUGUGCCUACAAGCACCGAGAGCACGUUAAAGUGUGAUCGGGUACUUUUUGUAGAACGGUCCGGCGAGUUAAUAUUUGCAGCGAGGUUAAGGAACUGGAGUUCCGGAGCCGCAGCGAGAGCGAGUCUGAAUAGGGCGUAUGAAGUUGCAGGUAUUAGACCCGAAACCGGGUGACCUAUCCAUGAGCAGGCUGAAGCGGUGGUAAGACACCGUGGAGGGCCGCACCCACGUCUGUUGAAAAAGCCGGGGAUGACUUGUGGAUAGCGGAGAAAUUCCAAUCGAACUCGGAGAUAGCUGGUUCUCCCCGAAAUAGCUUUAGGGCUAGCGUCGGAUAUGUGUAGUGGAGGUAGAGCACUGAAUGGGCUAGGGGGCAUAUCGCUUACCGAACCUUAUCAAACUCCGAAUGCCAUAUACAUUUAGUCCGGCAGUCAGACUACGAAUGAUAAGAUCCGUGGUCAAAAGGGAAACAGCCCAGAUCGUCAGCUAAGGUCCCAAAGUGUAAGUUAAGUGGAAAAGGAUGUGGGAUUUCUAAGACAACUAGGAUGUUGGCUUAGAAGCAGCCACUCAUUUAAAGAGUGCGUAAUAGCUCACUAGUCGAGAGAUCCUGCGCCGAAAAUGUCCGGGGCUAAAACUUACCACCGAAGCUACGGGCUUGCGUAAGCAAGCGGUAGGGGAGCGUCGUAAUCGGGCUGAAGUCGUACCGUAAGGAGCGGUGGACUGAUUACGAGUGAGAAUGUUGGCAUUAGUAGCGAGAUGUAGGUGAGAAUCCUACAGGCCGAAUAUCUAAGGUUUCCUCAGGAAGGCUCGUCCGCUGAGGGUUAGUCGGGACCUAAGCCGAGGCCGAAAGGCGUAGGCGAUGGACAACAGGUUGAUAUUCCUGUACCACUACCAUCGUUAUUAUCGAGGGUGUGACGGAGAAGGAUAGUGUGUGCUAGCGAUUGGAAAUGCUAGUCUAAGCGUUUAGGCAGUUACGGUAGGCAAAUCCGCUGUAACGUUAAUGCUGAGGCGUGAUGGGGAAGGCCCUUGAGGCUGAAGUACAUGAUUCCAUGCUUCCAAGAAAAGCAUCUAGAGAGAGAAGUAGUGCCCGUACCGCAAACCGACACAGGUAGAUGAGGAGAGAAUCCUAAGGCCGGCGGAAGAAUUGCAGUUAAGGAACUAGGCAAAUUGACCCCGUAAGUUAGCGAGAAGGGGUGCCUGCGAGAGCAGGCCGCAGAGAAUAGGCCCAAGCAACUGUUUAGCAAAAACACAGGUCUCUGCUAAAGCGCAAGCUGAUGUAUAGGGGCUGACGCCUGCCCGGUGCUGGAAGGUUAAGGGGAACACUUAGCGCAAGCGAAGGUGUGAACUUAAGCCCCAGUAAACGGCGGCCGUAACUAUAACGGUCCUAAGGUAGCGAAAUUCCUUGUCAGGUAAGUUCUGACCCGCACGAAUGGCGUAACGACUUGAGAGCUGUCUCAACAACAUACCCGGCGAAAUUGAAGUACUGGUAAAGAUGCCAGUUACCCGUGAUAAGACGGAAAGACCCCAUGGAGCUUUACUGUAACUUGAUAUUGAAUUUUUGUAUUACAUGUACAGGAUAGGUGGGAGACAGAGAACUAAUGCCGCCAGGUGUUAGGGAGUCGAUGUUGGGAUACCACUCUUGUAAUAUGAAGGUUCUAACCUGCACCCGUGAAUCCGGGUGGGGGACACUGUCAGGUGGACAGUUUGACUGGGGCGGUCGCCUCCUAAAAGGUAACGGAGGCGUUCAAAGGUUGGUUCAGCACGGACGGAAAUCGUGCAACGAGUGCAAACGCAUAAACCAGCCUAACUGCGAGACCGACAAGUCGAGCAGUAACGAAAGUUGGAGUUAGUGAUCCGGCGGUAUGAGAGUGGAAUUGCCGUCGCUCAACGGAUAAAAGCUACCCUGGGGAUAACAGGCUGAUCUCCCCCA